AGUCUUCUGGAGCGUGCGCCAGUAGCCCAAUCCCCUUGAGCCUUAAUGCACCUCCCUGGGGAUGGCCCCUAGAGCCGUGUGCAUGUCCGCCCCGUGCGGAAAGCCUGACGCUCUCACCGCCCUCCCCGACUUGAACCGCUCGGUUCAAGGUACCCGGCCUACAGCGGCGCCCUGGAAGACCC
rnacentral:other from 1 species